rnacentral:sRNA from 1 species
AUAAAAAGCCAAAGUCUGACAAAGAGACAAGACUAGCAACUGCAAUGGCUGGAAAGACAGACCGAAAAGAAUUUGUGAGGAAGAAAACCAAAACAAAUCCAUUUUCCAGUUCGACAAAUAAAGAGAAGAAAAAACAGAAGAACUUUAUGAUGAUGCGGUAUAGCCAGAAUGUCCGGUCAAAAAAUAAGCGUUCCUUCCGAGAAAAACAGUUGGCACUACGAGAUGCACUUUUGAAAAAGAGAAAAAGAAUGAAGUAACUUCCUGGCAAGUUUUCCAUUCCUAGAAGAAUGCUAAGUUUGUGUCAUUGCUCUGAAAAUUGCCCUCCCGGCCGCAGCCUACACUCCUUCGGCCCAAGCAGGUGCGUUGGAACCGGGAGUUGGUGAGAAGCCGGCUGCCGGCAGCCCCAGCCCUUAGCGGCCCCGCGGUCAGGGACCUCCAGGCCCAAUGGAGAGUCGGGGCGGGCUAGUGGAUGCGCGGCGGGGACGGGAGGUGUCGCCGCUCCGGCUUGCCGGUGACAGGGGCGGGCGGGUCGUGCGCGAGCCCCACCUCCAGCGAUCGCGGCCCAGCCCCAGCUCCUCCUCCUCCACGGCUUACCCCGGCUCCGACAGCGGCUGCAGGUCUCUAAGUUGCGGCCGCUGGAGCCCGAGCC